UUAACCGGAUUAGAUACCCUGGUAGUCCACGCCGUAAACGAUGUCGACUUGGAGGUUGUGCCCUUGAGGCGUGGCUUCCGGAGCUAACGCGUUAAGUCGACCGCCUGGGGAGUACGGCCGCAAGGUUAAAACUCAAAUGAAUUGACGGGGGCCCGCACAAGCGGUGGAGCAUGUGGUUUAAUUCGAUGCAACGCGAAGAACCUUACCUGGUCUUGACAUCCACGGAAGUUUUCAGAGAUGAGAAUGUGCCUUCGGGAACCGUGAGACAGGUGCUGCAUGGCUGUCGUCAGCUCGUGUUGUGAAAUGUUGGGUUAAGUCCCGCAACGAGCGCAACCCUUAUCCUUUGUUGCCAGCGGUCCGGCCGGGAACUCAAAGGAGACUGCCAGUGAUAAACUGGAGGAAGGUGGGGAUGACGUA
rnacentral:rRNA from 1 species